AACGAACGCUGGCGGCGCGCUUAACACAUGCAAGUCGAACGGGGUACUUGGAGCUGAUCGCUUCGGCGUGAAGCACCUUGUUAUCUAGUGGCGAACGGGUGAGUAACACGUAGGUAACCUGCCCUCAGGAUUGGGAUACUCCCGAGAAAUCGGGCUCAAUACCGGAUAUGAUUCCAGGGUGAAAUGCCCAGGGAUAAAAGCCAUGAGCAAUCAUGGUACCUGAGGAGGGGCCUGCGGCCUAUCAGCUUGUUGGUGAGGUAACGGCUCACCAAGGCCAAGACGGGUAGCCGGACUGAGAGGUCGAUCGGCCACACUGGAACUGAGACACGGUCCAGACUCCUACGGGAGGCAGCAGUGGGGAAUUUUGCGCAAUGGGCGAAAGCCUGACGCAGCGACGCCGCGUGGGGGAAGAAGGCCUUCGGGUUGUAA
rnacentral:rRNA from 1 species